UNGGCUUCCGGCUGCCUACACUAACUCCCU
rnacentral:piRNA from 1 species